GGCAGGAAAAAGAGCUGUCUGGUGACAUCUGGGCUGUUUACAUUACCAAUAGUGGAAACAUAUGGUUAAAAACAGACACUCUGAAUUCUGGAUAGCAAAAUCUGUUUUCAGAGAGACAAUAUAUAACAUUUGGUGGCUGACAUUUAAGAACUAAUCAUGUUUGGGGCCAACUGAAAGAAAUUGUCUGGAGAGCACUGGCCUACUGUUUCUGUUGUCAUUAGCUGAAACAUAAAGAUUACAAUUUGAUCAUUUCAAUUUGGAAUAGAAAUAUCUGUUUUCAGAGAGGUCAAUAUAUAAUAUUCAAUAACUUUUGCAAGUCAACACGAAGUCCUCUUCUUUUCACAAUGAAAGGGGGAGAGCAUCCAAAAGGAAGACCUCAUGAAAGGCUCCUUUCAAACAGUGGCCCUUGCUGUGUCCUCUUGAUUAAGGGCUCAUAAAUAAAAGGACACAACAGCUGCAACUUAUGAUUAACCAUGGUAUAGUAUUUCAAAUAGUGAAUAACAUUAUAGUUAUUGCAACUAACAAAACUCCUUACAUUGGUUCAACACAUGACCUUGGUUUUGUCUGGCCUGUAGGUGACCUGAAUUGAAGAGAGAUGUCUGGGUUGAAAUUUAACUCGGUGUCUGAAAAGCUAUGUCACAUGGCUGGAAAGUCAGUAACGCUGCAGUUUUGGGAACCCUUGCUCCUCUCAAUGCAAUUGGAUGGUAUAAAGAUAAAUCCGAGAAGAGCAGUGAAAAAUAAAGCUAAUUGGUCAGUCUAGGGCAACUCUUGAAUAAUGUCCAAACAUUUGCAAACCCUCUGAGUAAACCACUCAGGUUAUUCUUAAACAACUAAGGUAACUUUACUGCCUGCCAUGGGCAAGUGCCCUUUAGAUUAACAUGGUAAACAAUUCUCGAGUGAUUAAUGACAUACACUAUUUCUCUGCCCUCUACUGAGGGCAGAACUCUCUUAAGGAGAGCAGGAAAGUCUUUACCUCUUGAUUUAUAGGCUCCGACCAAAGCAAUCUGAGUUUUCUCUGAGUAUGGGAAGCUAUUCCUGAGGAAGAUAUGGGCUCUCAAAAGAGAGACCACCGAAGACAAGGAAGAAAGGAUCUUCCAUUAUCCCUUUGCUCCAUUAACUAUCCUCUGAGAAGCUGCCAGUGUCCCUCCAGUCUUAGUUAAUUAGAUGGGUUCAGGACCUAAUUCUAAAAACUACUUUCCCCAUGACCAUAAUAGAUGAAAACUAAAGGAAGAGCCUGACUUUUCUCACUUCAAUUGGGUGACUCUGGAAGUCAUGAAUCUGUUGAAAAUGGUAAAGCCACAAGAUAGAAGGAACCACAUGAUGGAAAACAAUUCUGCUUGCAGAAGAGCUUCCGAUCAAUCAAGAACAUCUGAUUAAACUUGAUGUAAGGAAAAAAUAAAUUUGUACUUAUUACAUCAUUGAAA